rnacentral:rRNA from 1 species
GUUCAGCGAUGGAUGUUUCGGCUUAGUUGAUGAUAAAGGGCGCAGCAAAAUGUGAUACGCAUUGUGAAUUGCAGGAUUCCGUGAACUAAUUGGUUUUUGAAUGCACGUUGCACCUUUGGGAUAUUCCUCAAGGUGUGCUUGAUUCAAUGUC